rnacentral:rRNA from 1 species
UACGUAGGGGGUGAGCGUUGUCCGGAAUCAUUGGGCGUAAAGCGCACGUAGGCGGCUUUGUAAGUUAGAGGUGAAAGCCCGGGGCUCAACCCCGGAAUUGCCUUUAAGACUGCAUCGCUUGAACGUCGGAGAGGUGAGUGGAAUUCCGAGUGUAGAGGUGAAAUUCGUAGAUAUUAGGAAGAACACCAGUGGCGAAGGCGGCUCACUGGCCCCGGUAGCUGACGCUGAGGCGCGAAAGCGUGGGGAGCAAACAGG